rnacentral:rRNA from 1 species
UUCGCAAUGCCCGAAAGGGUUUGAUCUAUCCUCAGUAAGCUCGGGCUAAGUUCGUGCCAGCAGCCGCGGUAAGACGAACCGAGCGAACGUUGUUCGGAAUCACUGGGCUUAAAGGGCGCGUAGGCGGGCUGUCAAGUUUGGGGUGAAAUCCCGCGGCUCAACCGGGGAACUGGCGCCGAAACGCCCUGUCUUGAGGAGCGUAGGGGGACCUGGAACUUCCGGUGGAGCGGUGAAAUGCGUUGAGAUCGGAAGGAACGCCCGUGGCGAAAGCGAGGUCCUGGACGUUAUCUGACGCUGAGACGCGAAAGCUAGGGGAGCGAACGGGAUUAGAUACCCCGGUAGUCCUAGCUGUAAACGAUGGGCACUAAGUAGAGGGGUUUUAAUC